UAAUUACAACUAAUUGAGACUCAAAUGGGACUUGGGAUGUAUGAACAGAAGUAUGAGGGGCAGGAUGAUGGAGGUGACUGCCUACUCAGCUCUGUGCUGCCCUGAUCUGCAGUGCCAGACUCUGGCUGGCUCGGAGGACAGCCAGCCUGGGCAGGAGACUGGAAACUCCUGCCAAGAGUGGCAGGGAGCCUAUUGGUUGUGUUUUGACUUUUGUCAUAGUGAUGUGUGCCAGGCUGAUUUUUUUUUAAAUAGGUCUUUUCUUCUUUGGCCUCUGGGUUUAUUAUUAAAAAGAAAUGUUGGAGAGAAAGAAGCUAGCAUUUAAUGAAGUCCCUCCAGGAGGUGGCCCCAAGCACGCUGUGCACACACUAACCCAAAGCAGCCAAUAUUUGUUUGAUGGAUGGGAAACUGAGGCUAGAAGUCUUGUCUCUGGGAGACCAAGAAACAAAUUCCCAGGACAAAUUUCUGUAGGCGUCGCAGGGAAGGAGCCAUCUGUUUAAUAUAAUAAACAUUUUCAACAAAGGAAGGGUAGGAGGUAUUCAUGUAUAAGCUGCACAGGCGGCCUUCAGCAGAGCUGGGUGCAGAAUGGGGGUCCUUUGUUGCAGGGAGGUCAGACUGAAGACGUCUGCACUCCCUGCCACCGCAGCAAGUCCCUGAGUCCGUCACUGAGGUCCCCCUUUGUAGGAGUAGGGUGUGCAAACUGCAGGUGUGCUUGCUGGGCUGGCUGGGGCUGGGGCCAAGGGGCAGAGGUGAGCAUCCCCCUUACAGGGGCUCUUUUUGCAGAUGAUUGAGUCGAAUGACAUUUCAGAGGAGACGAUCAGGAUGAAGGAAACUGUGGAGGGCCUGCAGGACAAGCUGAACAAGAGGGACAAAGAGGUGACAGCCUUGACCUCCCAGACCGAGAUGCUCAGGGCCCAAGUAAGUGCGCUGGAGAGCAAGUGUAAGUCGGGCGAGAAGAAGAUGGACGCCCUC
rnacentral:sRNA from 1 species